rnacentral:rRNA from 1 species
GUCUGGUGGGUAGUUUGACUGGGGCGGUCUCCUCCUAAAGAGUAACGGAGGAGCACGAAGGUUGGCUAAUCCUGGUCGGACAUCAGGAGGUUAGUGCAAUGGCAUAAGCCAGCUUGACUGCGAGCGUGACGGCGCGAGCAGGUGCGAAAGCAGGUCAUAGUGAUCCGGUGGUUCUGAAUGGAAGGGCCAUCGCUCAACGGAUAAAAGGUACUCCGGGGAUAACAGGCUGAUACCGCCCAAGAGUUCAUAUCGACGGCGGUGUUUGGCACCUCGAUGUCGGCUCAUCACAUCCUGGGGCUGAAGUAGGUCCCAAGGGUAUGGCUGUUCGCCAUUUAAAGUGGUACGCGAGCUGGGUUUAGAACGUCGUGAGACAGUUCGGUCCCUAUCUGCCGUGGGCGCUGGAGAACUGAGGGGGGCUGCUCCUAGUACGAGAGGACCGGAGUGGACGCAUCACUGGUGUUCGGGUUGUCAUGCCAAUGGCACUGCCCGGUAGCUAAAUGCGGAAGAGAUAAGUGCUGAAAGCAUCUAAGCACGAAACUUGCCCCGAGAUGAGUUCUCCCUGAGACUUAAAGUCUCCUGAAGGAACGUUGAAGACGACGACGUUGAUAGGCCGGGUGUGUAAGCGCAGCGAUGCGUUGAGCUAACCGGUACUAAUGAACCGUGAGGCUUAACCUU